rnacentral:rRNA from 1 species
CUGCGUUAUGCCUCGGGGAGUUGCCAACUAAGCGUUGAUCCGAGGAUGUCCGAAUGGGGAAACCCAGCCGCAGUGAUGUGUGGUUACCUGCCAGUGAAUGUAUAGCUGGUGUGGAGGUUGACACGGGGAAGUGAAACAUCUCAGUACCCGUAGGAGAAGAAAACAAUUGUGAUUCCGUUAGUAGUGGCGAGCGAACGUGGGUGAUGGCUAAAACUUAUGUGUGUGAUACCCGGCAGGGGGUGCAUGUAGGGGGUUGUGGGGCAAUGACGUUCAUAUUCUGCCGGAUGUGGGCAUGUGCUGCGUGGUUAGUGGAAGUGGUGUGGAAACACCUGCCGUAGAAGGUGAGAGUCCUGUACACGAAGAUCAUGGUGGUGUGUGUGGUUGUUGAUACCCCGAGUAGCAGCGGGCUCGUGGAAUCUGCUGUGAAUUAGCCGGGACCACCCGGUAAGCCUGAAUACUUGAUAUGACCGAUAGCGGAUUAGUACCGUGAGGGAAUGGUGAAAAGUACCCCGGGAGGGGAGUGAAAUAGUACCUGAAACCGUGUGCUGUCAAUCCGUCAGAGCACCCCUUUGUGGUGUGAUGGCGUGCCUUUUGAAGAAUGAGCCUGCGAGUCAGCGGCAUGUCGCGAGGUUAACCCGUGUGGGGUAGUCGUAGGGAAACCGAAUCCUAACGAGGGUGAUUUUAGUGGCAUGUCUUGGACCCGAAGCGGAGUGAUCUACCCAUGGCCAGUGUGAAGCAGCUGUAAGAGGUUGUGGAGGCGCGAACCCACUUAGGUUGAAAACUGAGGGGAUGAGUUGUGGGUAGGGGUGAAAGGCCAAUCAAACUCCGUGAUAGCUGGUUCUCCCCGAAAUGCAUUUAGGUGCAGCGUCGUGUGUUUCU